UACGUAGGGUGCGAGCGUUGUCCGGAAUUAUUGGGCGUAAAGGGCUCGUAGGCGGUCUGUUGCGUCAGGAGUGAAAACUCGGGGCUUAACCCCGAGCCUGCUUCUGAUACGGGCAGACUAGAGGUAUGCAGGGGAGAACGGAAUUCCUGGUGUAGCGGUGAAAUGCGCAGAUAUCGGGAGGAACACCAGUGGCGAAGGCGACUUCCUGGCCUGUUCUUGACGCUGAGGCGCGAAAGCUAGGGGAGCAAACGGG
rnacentral:rRNA from 1 species